AGGACAUUGAAAGCUGCAGGGGCUAAGGAAGUCUCAAAGAAGGGAAGAGAUUUUGAACUGUAUCUUGAAGGACAGAAGGCUAGACAUUCUUGGCUUGAAGAGUAAUAAAAGCAUAGGAAUGAGAUUUAAUCAAGAAGAGUCCAGAUUUCCUGAAGUCAAAGGAACGUCAAGGCCGUGGAAAAUAAAAGGCAGUUCUGCACAGACACAGCAACGGUUUCAUCUGCAUAUCCCUAAGAGGAAAAAAAUGACCUUCAAGAAAAUUAGGACUUUUUUCUUAAUUUCAUUGACUUCAGAGACGAUUGCAGAAUUGCAGUUUAAGUAUUGGAAUUUCACAAAAGACAUAGGACUUAACUGGAAAGUGGAAAAAAAAAGAAAAAGAAAAAAACUAAAAAAAUCCCUCUAGGUAGCUUAGGUGAAAAAUGUCCCUUUUAUUUUGGUUUUGGUUGUGAUUUCAGAGCAUACUGCUUUUUUUUUCUUUGUCUUUUUAUUAUGUUUUCGGAUUUUAAAGUCCGUAAGUGCAUACAGUUUUCUCUAAUUUUUAAACCCUUUCCUCCCCCCCAUUUUGACAUUUGCACUUGGAGAACACCUGAGUUUUGAAGGUAUGGGCCUGCCUCCACCCCAGAAAGGGGGAAUUUGGUUUUUCCCUUCCGAACUGGAAGAACAUUUUUAUGAAGAAUUUUUGUGUUGGAGAAUUUAACAGUGUUACCCAAGGUUGUGUCUUUAAGGGUGGUUCAUUUUCUCUGACCCUUUGUUACUCAAAGUAAAGUACUAGGAUUCCUAAGAAAUGUUCUGUUCUUGUACAUUAUACUGAUUGAGUCAGGAUUAAUUUUAUUUCACAGCUAAGAACAGUGGUAAAAACUUGUUUACAGAAAUGCAUUUUGGAAGAGAAAAAUAUUGUAAAACGUGUAGUGAAUGUUUCUUCAGUUUCUUGUUCAUCCAAUGAGGAAAGGGCAUUGCCUUUCUUUUUACCAUUAAUCACUUCUCAAUAAACGUGAGAUCCUGUUGAGCAUCA